AAUUGAAAUAUAGUACAUUGAUGAUGAAAAAAUAGAAUAUAGUACAUGUAAAUAUGACAGCAAGUAGUUUUGUCUUUUCCUAUUUUGUCUCUUUGUUGCUGUUAUGUUUUUUGUGGUACAUCACAGCAUGAGGUUUUGACUUCCUCCAAGAAUUUAAGCAUUCAUUCCAAGCGGUUCCAAUUGAAAAUUCUCCAACUCACAGUUCAACUUUGUUGCACUUUUAUGCCAACUUAAUUGGGUAUUUGGGUGAAGUUCUUUCUGGGUUGCUUAAUGUGUGUGAUAGGUGAAAGGUUUCUUAAGGAAGACUCAAAAUGUAAUGUUCUUAUUUAUUACUCUGAACUACCGUUUGAUUGUUUGUAGGACCAUCUUUUUUCCUUGUUGCAAAGAGACACUGUAAAGCUCCAGGGUAAUAUAGAACAGCUGCGUAGUGAGCUCAAGUAUGAUAUUGAAAAGGUAAUAUUGGUUUUACGCGAUGAACUUGCUAAUCAGAAAGCAGAAAACAACAGUCUUACAAGGAAACUCGAGGAAGAAAACAAUGCGCGGAAGGCUCAAGUGGAUGCUGGGAGGGAACAGUCGACGUACUUAAGUUUUGUUCUUCUUUCCAUUGUUGGUAUUGAUGCAUUAUUUCGGAAUCUCGGUAGUUGAGGUUGGCGAGGCGGCUACCGGUUGUGCGUGCAAAAAACACGACAAAAUAAGGAAGGAUGGUAGGAGGAAAAUAAAAAAAAAGGAUAAAAGUACAAUUUCAGUACCAUUUCGUUAAAAAGAGUACAAUUUCAGUACCAUUUUGUUAAAAAGAGUACCAUUUCGUUAAAAAGAGUUCAUUUCUUCAAAAAAAAAAUGUACCAUUUCAUUAAAAAAAAAUACAAUUUCUUUUUAAAAAUAUACCAUUGUUCCAUUACUUGUCGUUUACCUCUUUUGUUGGCUAGUUCUUAGUUAUGUAUUUGCUCAUACAUCACCGUUAGCCGAACAUACUUCCUCCAUGUAGAUGUAGAUGCACUUCGGUAAGUGGAAUAGCUACAAGCCUACAAGGAAUGCAUACCUAGUCUUCUCAAAACCACUAAGAGCUUAUGGCUAUAUUUGUACGUAAAAAGUUAAAAUUCAUUCUUAUUUUUUUUGCGGUAUUUUAUUUCUUUUCUCUACAACAGAAUGUGAUUACAUCCUGAUGCAAGAAUGGACAUCCGUACAAAAUUUACAGUCUAA